GAACGGACGAGAAGCUUGCUUCUCUGAUGUUAGCGGCGGACGGGUGAGUAAUACGUGGAUAACCUACCUAUAAGACUGGGAUAACUUCGGGAAACCGGAGCUAAUACCGGAUAAUAUUUUGAACCGCAUGGUUCAAAAGUGAAAGACGGUCUUGCUGUCACUUAUAGAUGGAUCCGCGCUGCAUUAGCUAGUUGGUAAGGUAACGGCUUACCAAGGCAACGAUGCAUAGCCGACCUGAGAGGGUGAUCGGCCACACUGGAACUGAGACACGGUCCAGACUCCUACGGGAGGCAGCAGUAGGGAAUCUUCCGCAAUGGGCGAAAGCCUGACGGAGCAACGCCGCGUGAGUGAUGAAGGUCUUCGGAUCGUAAAACUCUGUUAUUAGGGAAGAACAUAUGUGUAAGUAACUGUGCACAUCUUGACGGUACCUAAUCAGAAAGCCACGGCUAACUACGUGCCAGCAGCCGCGGUAAUACGUAGGUGGCAAGCGUUAUCCGGAAUUAUUGGGCGUAAAGCGCGCGUAGGCGGUUUUUUAAGUCUGAUGUGAAAGCCCACGGCUCAACCGUGGAGGGUCAUUGGAAACUGGAAAACUUGAGUGCAGAAGAGGAAAGUGGAAUUCCAUGUGUAGCGGUGAAAUGCGCAGAGAUAUGGAGGAACACCAGUGGCGAAG
rnacentral:rRNA from 1 species